rnacentral:tRNA from 1 species
GGGAUAUAACUCAGUUGGUAGAGUGCUUGCCUUGCAUGAAGGAGGCCCUGGGUUCAAUCCCCAGCACCACCA